rnacentral:rRNA from 1 species
CCGACAGGAUGGGGACAACAUUCCGAAAGGAAUGCUAAUACCGAAUGGAGUCCGAGGAUGGCAUCAUCCUUGGAUCAAAGAUGGCCUCUUAACAAUGCUAUCGCCUGUCGAUGGGCCUGCGUCUGAUUAGCCAGUUGGCGGGGUAACGGCCCACCAAAGCGACGAUCAGUAGCCGGUCUGAGAGGAUGAACGGCCACAUUGGGACUGAGACACGGCCCAG